rnacentral:rRNA from 1 species
UACAGAGGGGGCAAGCGUUAUUCGGAAUUAUUGGGCGUAAAGGGCGCGUAGGCGGCCUGGCAAGUGGAAGGUGAAAUCCCUCGGCUUAACCGAGGAACUGCCCUCCAAACUGCUUGGCUUGAGACCGGGAGAGGUGAGUGGAAUUCCCAGUGUAGCGGUGAAAUGCGUAGAUAUUGGGAGGAACACCAGUGGCGAAGGCGGCUACCUGGACCGGUUCUGACGCUGAUGCGCGAAAGCGUGGGUAGCAAACAGG